UACGGAAGGGGCUAGCGUUGUUCGGAAUUACUGGGCGUAAAGAGCGCGUAAGCGGCUUACCAAGUUGGGGGUGAAAUUCCGGAGCUCAACUCCGGAACUGCCUUCAAAACUGGUAGGCUCGAGUCCGGAAGAGGGGCGUGGAAUUCCGAGUGUAGAGGUGAAAUUCGUAGAUAUUGGGAAGAACACCGGUGGCGAAGGCGGCGCCCUGGUCCGGUACUGACGCUGAGGCGAGAAAGCGUGGGGAGCAAACAGG
rnacentral:rRNA from 1 species